UUCCUGCUCCUGAGCUCAGGGUAGAUUCAGCUCCUCUAGAAGUCCAUGGACUGACAGCAUUAGUGGAAGUUCCCAAGCAGGAAGCUGGGCAUGAUUAAAUGGAUGCCAACAACUAAAAACUCAAAAGUCUGCUUCACAGCCAAAUCCAGUGUCUAAAUCCACAUCACCAAAAGGUACCCAUAGGCUUCCUCGUCUGGUCCUCCAAGAUUGCUGCUGCCAGUCAAAAGCUCCAAUCUCACAUGUUGCAGGAACCUCUGUGCCAGUCCCCACAAGGAGGUCAGGCUGCUUCUCUGAUGAGAAGAAGCUCGCCACCUGGCAAAGCCUCCUGCUUCCAUUUUUACAGAUUACAGACCUUAUUUGCUGAAAGUCACACAAUGGACCUAUGUACUGUGGAACUGGCACUACAACUCUGGUCCCUCAAAGCCCAGAGUGCAGAUUUUCCCACAGUGCCACGGGGCUGCUGCAUGGGAUGCUUGUCCCCCAGGCCUGGCCACACUUGAGGGAAUACUCAUCAUCCGCUUGGCAGGUAGGGGCUUCGCACCAUUUUCUGGGUGAGCAACUGUGUUUAUUACUGUGUGUUGGCUGACAGAGGGCUAUAGCUAAUAACGAAGUUUUUCUUCACUCACAUUCACUUUGACACUUCAAGCGUCUCUGUCCAAACCCAGCUAGACCCUUCCCUCUACACCCA